UGGCUCUGGAGAACGUCCCGAAUGUAAGGGGACUGCCGAAGGUGCAACGCGCGCGGGGGUAAGAGUAGCCGCGCCCAAUCUCUCAGGCAAAAGGACAGAGUAUG
rnacentral:ncRNA from 1 species